AUUGAACGUUGGCGGCAGGCCUAACACAUGCAAGUCGAACGAGUGGCGGACGGGUGAGUAAUGUCUGGGAAACUGCCCGAUGGAGGGGGAUAACUACUGGAAACGGUAGCUAAUACCGCAUACCAUCGGAUGUGCCCAGAUGGGAUUAGCUCGUAGGUGGGGUAACGGCGCACCUAGGCGACGAUCCCUAGCUGGUCUGAGAGGCUGACCAGCCACACUGGAAUUGAGACACGGUCCAGACUCCUCCGGGAGGCAGCAGUGGGGAAUAGUGCACAAUGGUCGCAAGCCUUAUGCAGCCAUGCCGCGUGUAUGAAGAAGGCCUUCGGGUUGUAAAGUACUUUCAGCGGGGAGGCGUUACCCGCAGAAGAAGCACCGGCUAACUCCGUGCCAGCCGCCGCGGUAAUAC
rnacentral:rRNA from 1 species